UACGAAGGGGGCUAGCGUUGCUCGGAAUUACUGGGCGUAAAGCGCACGUAGGCGGAUUGUUAAGUCGGGGGUGAAAUCCUGGAGCUCAACUCCAGAACUGCCUUCGAUACUGGCGAUCUCGAGUUCGGGAGAGGUGAGUGGAACUGCGAGUGUAGAGGUGAAAUUCGUAGAUAUUCGGAAGAACACCAGUGGCGAAGGCGGCUCACUGGACUGGUAUUGACGCUGAGGUGCGAAAGCGUGGGGAGCAAACAGG
rnacentral:rRNA from 1 species